CGGCAGAGACCUGCGAGCGCCGAGGGGGGCGGGGCCCUGGUCUCGUGGGAGUGAGGGGAAACUCCACCCCCGCCCCUCAGAGAGGCCUGCCCCAUUACCCGCCUUUGGCCCCAGGAACAGACCCCACAUGCGGUUAGGCAAGAGGAGCCCUCCCACGUGCUAAGCUUACCUGUUUCACAGCAAUGCUGACUCUAACAGAAUUGAUGGAGCCCUCGAUCAGAACCUUUUCCUUCUCAUUCCUGCUGAUGAUCACAGGCUGUAACAGGAGUUCUUUGCUACUCCUACAAAUGGCAAACACACCUUUAUGACUACAGAAAGAGAGCUGAGGAUACUGCGGCUCUCCCAAGACACAGUAACAUGGAGCUUAAGCCCAAACCUCA